UCCUUCACUAAAGAUACAAGGUAUUGAGUGCCAGUUCUGUCCCCACUUUCAGUCCAUUGUAUGCCCAUACCCUGCCCACCAGUGUCAAAAAUGUGGUGGAAGGAGCUCUCAGUUGUUUGAUAGGAUUCUCACCCAAUAGCUGUAAUGAUCAAAUCUACAGCAACUCUGUGUUGAAAACAGAGGAACGGGGCUGAUGGAGAAGGUUUGGUUCUUCAAAGCCAAGAUAGCUGCAAACAGUUCACUGCCUAUGAGAGCAUGAGGUGUGGAACAUAAGGCUGCCACUAGUGUUGAACUGCUACAGCUGCAAAAAGCAAGAUUUGGGCACUUGGAAAACACAAAGCUGGAGUGGGAAGGCAAGGCUGGAAACAGACACCAUUAAUCAUCCCUCUGCCAAGAUCUUCUUCCCACACCAGGCUUUACUGUACAUUCCUUGCAUUUCCAUACCAUGAUGUCAGUCCACCAUGGAACAAAGAUAAGAAUGGCUCAAGAUUUUCCUUCA